UACAGAGGGGGCAAGCGUUGUUCGGAAUUACUGGGCGUAAAGGGCGCGUAGGCGGCCUGUUAAGUCGAACGUGAAAUCCCUGGGCUCAACCCGGGAACUGCGUCCGAUACUGGCAGGCUUGAAUUCGGGAGAGGGAUGCGGAAUUCCAGGUGUAGCGGUGAAAUGCGUAGAUAUCUGGAGGAACACCGGUGGCGAAGGCGGCAUCCUGGACCGAGAUUGACGCUGAGGCGCGAAAGCCAGGGGAGCAAACGGG
rnacentral:rRNA from 1 species